rnacentral:rRNA from 1 species
UACGUAGGGAGCAAGCGUUGUCCGGAAUCCUUGGGCGUAAAGCGCGCGUAGGCGGCUCGAUCAGUCUGUUGUGAAAGUCAAAGGCUCAACCUUUGAAAGCCGAUGGAUACUGUCGAGCUAGAGUCCGGAAGAGGCGGGUGGAAUUCCUGGUGUAGCGGUGGAAUGCGCAGAUAUCAGGAGGAACACCAACGGCGAAGGCAGCCCGCUGGGACGGUACUGACGCUAAGGCGCGAAAGCGUGGGGAGCGAACAGG